GCCAUCUUUGAUUUUUGUUUGUAUACAAUUAGUCUGUUCAAGUCCGCAAACAAUUGCUGAUUAUUAAAUAAAUAUUAACGUUUAAACUCUAAUUUUUUUAAAAAUACCUUCUAUCAUAAUUUCUUCAACUCUAUCAACGAUAAGAAUAGUGCGCAAUCGUCAAAUAAUUGCAGAAUGUGUAGGCCCUAUAAAAUCAUUGGAGAUUAUAACCAUUCAAUCGGAAAAGUAACUUGAGAUUUUGUGCUACAAUAUUCAUUGUAUUUGAAACGGAACCAGCUGAUUUAAAUCUUCAUGCAACAUACAAGUGUGUUGAAAUGUUGGAAGCUGAAUGACCGCGCAGAGGUAUCUCACUGCUUUGAGAGGAGACUUGAAGAAGAAUGUUACUGCUCUAAUCUCCAGCCUUGGAUUACUUCACAAC